AUUUCCCACAGACAUUGCGGUAUUGAAGCGGGAAAUUCUGUUCCAAGCGGGAGCCGAGGAUGGAUCAGGAUUGGUGUCUAUCCGCCUGACAGACGUGGAAUCUGAAAGGAUUCCCUUCAUCUGAGGAAGCCAGUUCUCAUCCAAAGGAUCCACCUCACACAAGUCCAGGAACUCUAGGGAGCCACGUCGAACAUGGACCUCAGAGAUACACAGCCGGGGGACAACGGAACUGAGGCAUGUAUUCUCCACUCCAGUCAGUAGUAGAAGGCUUUUCUGCAGUGGGGAAUGGAACCCAGGCCAAGUGGGCUCUAGCUGCAGAGAAGGGGAUACACAACCUUAGGUAAGAGGGUGCACAUCCCAGCCAUUGGAUGUGGGGCUGGAGGAAGACAUUUGGCUGGGCUCCUACCGUGUAUACUAUUAUACUGUUAGGGUUAGUAAGAGACAGGUGGUGAUGAUGUUGUCAGUUAAGAAAAGCCGUCAUUUGCUUAGUGAAGUGUGGAAUUGU